rnacentral:rRNA from 1 species
GGACGAACGCUGGCGGCGUGCCUAAUACAUGCAAGUCGAGCGAACGGACGAGAAGCUUGCUUCUCUGAUGUUAGCGGCGGACGGGUGAGUAACACGUGGAUAACCUACCUAUAAGACUGGGAUAACUUCGGGAAACCGGAGCUAAUACCGGAUAAUAUUUUGAACCGCAUGGUUCAAAAGUGAAAGACGGUCUUGCUGUCACUUAUAGAUGGAUCCGCGCUGCAUUAGCUAGUUGGUAAGGUAACGGCUUACCAAGGCAACGAUGCAUAGCCGACCUGAGAGGGUGAUCGGCCACACUGGAACUGAGACACGGUCCAGACUCCUACGGGAGGCAGCAGUAGGGAAUCUUCCGCAAUGGGCGAAAGCCUGACGGAGCAACGCCGCGUGAGUGAUGAAGGUCUUCGGAUCGUAAAACUCUGUUAUUAGGGAAGAACAUAUGUGUAAGUAACUGUGCACAUCUUGACGGUACCUAAUCAGAAAGCCACGGCUAACUACGUGCCAGCAGCCGCGGUAAUACGUAGGUGGCAAGCGUUAUCCGGAAUUAUUGGGCGUAAAGCGCGCGUAGGCGGUUUUUUAAGUCUGAUGUGAAAGCCCACGGCUCAACCGUGGAGGGUCAUUGGAAACUGGAAAACUUGAGUGCAGAAGAGGAAAGUGGAAUUCCAUGUGUAGCGGUGAAAUGCGCAGAGAUAUGGAGGAACACCAGUGGCGAAGGCGACUUUCUGGUCUGUAACUGACGCUGAUGUGCGAAAGCGUGGGGAUCAAACAGGAUUAGAUACCCUGGUAGUCCACGCCGUAAACGAUGAGUGCUAAGUGUUAGGGGGUUUCCGCCCCUUAGUGCUGCAGCUAACGCAUUAAGCACUCCGCCUGGGGAGUACGACCGCAAGGUUGAAACUCAAAGGAAUUGACGGGGACCCGCACAAGCGGUGGAGCAUGUGGUUUAAUUCGAAGCAACGCGAAGAACCUUACCAAAUCUUGACAUCCUUUGACAACUCUAGAGAUAGAGCUUUCCCCUUCGGGGGACAAAGUGACAGGUGGUGCAUGGUUGUCGUCAGCUCGUGUCGUGAGAUGUUGGGUUAAGUCCCGCAACGAGCGCAACCCUUAAGCUUAGUUGCCAUCAUUAAGUUGGGCACUCUAAGUUGACUGCCGGUGACAAACCGGAGGAAGGUGGGGAUGACGUCAAAUCAUCAUGCCCCUUAUGAUUUGGGCUACACACGUGCUACAAUGGACAAUACAAAGGGCAGCGAAACCGCGAGGUCAAGCAAAUCCCAUAAAGUUGUUCUCAGUUCGGAUUGUAGUCUGCAACUCGACUACAUGAAGCUGGAAUCGCUAGUAAUCGUAGAUCAGCAUGCUACGGUGAAUACGUUCCC